rnacentral:rRNA from 1 species
CAUGCAAGUCGAACGAUGAUCCGGUGCUUGCGCCGGGGAUUAGUGGCGAACGGGUGAGUAACACGUGAGUAACCUGCCCUUAACUCUGGGAUAAGCCUGGGAAACUGGGUCUAAUACCGGAUAUGACUCCUCAUCGCAUGGUGGGGGGUGGAAAGCUUUUUGUGGUUUUGGAUGGACUCGCGGCCUAUCAGCUUGUUGGUGAGGUAAUGGCUCACCAAGGCGACGACGGGUAGCCGGCCUGAGAGGGUGACCGGCCACACUGGGACUGAGACACGGCCCAGACUCCUACGGGAGGCAGCAGUGGGGAAUAUUGCACAAUGGGCGCAAGCCUGAUGCAGCGACGCCGCGUGAGGGAUGACGGCCUUCGGGUUGUAAACCUCUUUCAGUAGGGAAGAAGCGAAAGUGACGGUACCUGCAGAAGAAGCGCCGGCUAACUACGUGCCAGCAGCCGCGGUAAUACGUAGGGCGCAAGCGUUAUCCGGAAUUAUUGGGCGUAAAGAGCUCGUAGGCGGUUUGUCGCGUCUGCCGUGAAAGUCCGGGGCUCAACUCCGGAUCUGCGGUGGGUACGGGCAGACUAGAGUGAUGUAGGGGAGACUGGAAUUCCUGGUGUAGCGGUGAAAUGCGCAGAUAUCAGGAGGAACACCGAUGGCGAAGGCAGGUCUCUGGGCAUUAACUGACGCUGAGGAGCGAAAGCAUGGGGAGCGAACAGGAUUAGAUACCCUGGUAGUCCAUGCCGUAAACGUUGGGCACUAGGUGUGG